rnacentral:rRNA from 1 species
GGAGGGUGCAAGCGUUGUCCGGAUUUAUUGGGUUUAAAGGGUGCGUAGGCGGCCUAUUAAGUCAGUGGUGAAAGGUAUCAGCUUAACUGAUGACGUGCCAUUGAAACUGACAGGCUUGAGUACAGACGAGGUAGGCGGAAUUUAUGGUGUAGCGGUGAAAUGCAUAGAUACCAUAAAGAACACCAAUUGCGAAGGCAGCUUACUAGACUGAGACUGACGCUGAGGCACGAAAGCGUGGGGAGCGAACAGGAUUAGAUACCCUGGUAGUCCACGCUGUAAACGAUGAUUACUGGAUGUGUGCGAUAGACAGUACGCGUCUGAGCGAAAGCGUUAAGUAAUCCACCUGGGGAGUACGAUCGCAAGAUUG